rnacentral:rRNA from 1 species
UACGUAGGGGGCAAGCGUUGUCCGGAUUUAUUGGGCGUAAAGCGCUCGCAGGUGGUUCGAUACGUCGUGCGUGAAAGACCCCGGCUCAACUGGGGAGGGUCGUGCGAUACGGUCGAACUGGAGGCCAGUAGGGGGAUGCGGAAUUCCGGGUGUAGUGGUGGAAUGCGUAGAGAUCCGGCGGAACACCCGUGGCGAAGGCGGCCAGCUGGGCCGUCCCUGACGCUGAGGCGCGAAGGCGUGGGGAGCGAACGGG